GGGGAAUCUUCCACAAUGGGCGAAAGCCUGAUGGAGCAACGCCGCGUGAGUGAUGAAGGCCUUCGGGUUGUAAAGCUCUGUUAUUCGGGACGAAAGAGCGCAUGGCCAAUAUCCAUGUGAAGUGACGGUACCGAAAGAGAAAGCCACGGCUAACUACGUGCCAGCAGCCGCGGUAAUACGUAGGUGGCAAGCGUUGUCCGGAAUUAUUGGGCGUAAAGCGCGCGCAGGCGGCCUUUUAAGUCCAUCUUAAAGGCGUGGGGCUCAACCCCAUGAGGGGAUGGAAACUGGGAGGCUGGAGUAUCGGAGAGGAAAGCGGAAUUCCUAGUGUAGCGGUGAAAUGCGUAGAGAUUAGGAAGAACACCAGUGGCGAAGGCGGCUUUCUGGACGACAACUGACGCUGAGGCGCGAAAGCGUGGGGAGCAAAC
rnacentral:rRNA from 1 species